UAUAAUGUUUUGACUCUUCGUCUUAUUUGAAAUUUUUUUACGAUUAAUAUAUUUAUUCUUACUAGAUAAUAAAAUAUGAAUAAUAUUUUAUACGUAACUAAUUUUUUAAAGUUUUUUAUAGAUUUUUUAAAUAAGACGAAUGGUCAAACGUUGGACACGAAAA
rnacentral:pre_miRNA from 1 species